UACGGAGGGUGCAAGCGUUAUCCGGAUUCACUGGGUUUAAAGGGUGCGUAGGCGGAUUUGUAAGUCCGUGGUGAAAUCUCCGAGCUUAACUCGGAAACUGCCAUGGGUACUAUAAGUCUUGAAUGUUGUGGAGGUUUGCGGAAUAUGUCAUGUAGCGGUGAAAUGCUUAGAUAUGACAUAGAACACCGAUUGCGAAGGCAGCAGGCUACACAAAUAUUGACGCUGAGGCACGAAAGCGUGGGGAUCAAACAGG
rnacentral:rRNA from 1 species